UGGGGAAUAUUGGACAAUGGGCGAAAGCCUGAUCCAGCCAUGCCGCGUGUGUGAAGAAGGUCUUCGGAUUGUAAAGCACUUUAAGUUGGGAGGAAGGGCAUUAACCUAAUACGUUAGUGUUUUGACGUUACCGACAGAAUAAGCACCGGCUAACUCUGUGCCAGCAGCCGCGGUAAUACAGAGGGUGCAAGCGUUAAUCGGAAUUACUGGGCGUAAAGCGCGCGUAGGUGGUUUGUUAAGUUGGAUGUGAAAUCCCCGGGGUCAACCUGGUAACUGCAUUCAAAACUGACUGACUAGAGUAUGGUAGAGGGUGGUGGAAUUUCCUGUGUAGCGGUGAAAUGCGUAGAUAUAGGAAGGAACACCAGUGGCGAAGGCGACCACCUGGACUAAUACUGACACUGGGGUGCGAAAGCGUGGGGAGCAAACA
rnacentral:rRNA from 1 species